UGGCAACCCUGGUCGGAUUAGAAAACGUUCAAUCUGUCGAGGAAGUCGGUCGGGACUUUAAAAAAAACAAAAAAAAAAAACAUGAAGUAAAAACUUUAGAAACUGAAGAAAGUAACUUGGAUUUGGGACUAAGGACAGCCGAAGACUAUGCUCGUGGAUAAAAAUGUGUUUUAGUAUAUGGAGAUAGCACCGUCGCUGUCCGUUGAAACGAUGGCAGGCAUUUUAACGUAUUUGAAGCGGGGGCUGAAGGUGGACGUCCUGAGAGAAGCUGGCCGUCAGUAUCCGGUCUUCUGCUUCCUGCUGCUGGCUAUGGUCUCGCUGACUGUGCUGCUCAACAGGUAUAUCCACAUCCUGAUGGUCUUCUGGUCGUUCCUGGCUGGUGUCAUCACUUUCUAUUGCUCCUUUGGACCAGAGUCCCUUCUCCCAAAUGUCCUUUUCACCAUAAAGCCAAGGAACAAACGGCAGGAGCAGGAGCUGUUUCCUCUGGGCCACAGCUGUGCCGUGUGCGGGAAGGUCAAGUGCAAACGUCACCGGCCGACGCUGCUCCUUGAAAACUACCAGCCAUGGUUGGACCUGAAAGUUCAUUCAAAAGUGGAUGCUUCAAUAGCAGAGGUGUUUGAGUUAGUUCUCGAGAACUUUGUGUUCCCCUGGUACAGAGACAUCACAGAUGACGAGGCGUGUGUGGAUGAACUGAGGAUGACCUUUCGCUUCUUCGCAUCAGUGCUUGUCCGCCGGGCUCAGAAGGUUGAUGUUCCUGCUGUGUUUGCAGACAAAGUGAUGAAAGCUGCAAUGAAGCAUAUUGAAAUUAUUGGAAAAGCUCGAGAAAAAGUGAAGGAUGUGGGGGGUUUACAACAGGCAGCUCUGGAUGAAUACGGCACUGACCUCCACAUCGCUCUGCACAGCCGAAAAGACGAGCUGCUCUACCUGAGGACGCUGACGGAGAUGCUGUUUCCCUACGUCAUGCCUCCCAAAGCAACAGACUGCAGGUCUCUGGCUCUGUUGCUGCGGGAGGUGAUGGCUGGGUCUGUCAUAUUACCUACCAUGGAUUUCAUGGCUGACCCUGAUAUUGUGAACCUCAUGGUGCUGAUAUUUGUUGAUGACACUCCACCAGAACCAGCCACAGAGCCUCCGUCUACCCUGGUUCCAUUUUUACAGAAAUAUGCAGACGUCAGCAACAAGAAGCCGUCUGUGCUGAAGUUGGAGCUGAAGGAGAUCAGGGACCAGCAGGAUCUCCUCUUUCGUUUCAUGAACUUCCUGAAGCAGGAAGGAGCUGUGCACGUGCUGCAGUUCUGCCUCACCGUGGAGGAGUUUAACGACAAGAUCCUGAGUCCGGAGCUGAGCGACGCUGAGCUGCAGCGCCUACAUGGUGAGGUGCUGCACAUCUAUGAGACCUACUGCCUGGAUGAAAGCAUCGACAAGAUCAGCUUCGACAAGUUCAUCGUGGAGGAGAUAAGGAACAUUGCUAAAGGUCCGUACGCUGGUGUGGUGAAGCUGCAGACGAUGCGCUGCCUGUUUGAGGCGUACGAACACGUCCUGUCUCUGCUGGAGAGAGUCUUCACCCCGAUGUUCUGUCACAGCGACGAAUACUUCAGACACCUGCUGAGGGGGGCGGAGUCUCCACCAAGGAACUCAAGAAUCAACAGAAAUAGCUUCAGUUUGGAAGAAAACAGAAACACGUCAAAACGAGGGGAGUCGUUUGGCAUCAGCAGAAUUGGCAGCAAAAUCAAAGGUGUGUUCAAGAGCACGACCAUGGAGGGAGCCAUGCUGCCACCCAGCGCCAUGAACGACUUUGACGAUGAUUUGGUGGAGGAGGCGACGGUCGUGAUGGAGGACGACUCCCCCGCGGAGCCGGCCAGCACACCGGGCGCCCUGAGGAACCUGUCGGCCUGGAGCAUCACCAUCCCCUACAUCGACAUCUACGACGACGAGGCCAAGAGGGAGAAGAUCCCCGUCUUCUGCAUCGAUGUGGAGCGCAACGACAGGAAGGACGUUGGUCAUGAAACUGAAAAGUUGUCGGUCUACAGAAGAUAUCUGGAGUUCUACGUACUAGAAUCCAAACUCACGGAGUUCCACGGCACAUUUGCAGAUGCACAGCUUCCAUCCAAAAGAAUUAUUGGACCAAAGAAUUAUGAGUUCCUCGCAUCAAAAAGGGAAGAAUUUGAGGAAUAUUUACAGAGACUCCUGCAGCAUCCAGAGCUCAGUAACAGUCAGCUGCUGGCCGACUUCCUGUCUCCGUACAGCAUGGAGUCUCAGUUCCUGGACAGGAUGCUGCCUGAUGUCAACCUGGGAAAAAUAUUCAAGUCCGUACCAGGGAAGCUGAUGAAAGAGAAAGGACAGAACCUGGAGCCUUUCAUCCAGUCCUUCUUCAACUCCUGCGAGUCGCCCAAACCCAAACCCAGCAGACCGGAGUUGACCAUCCUCAGCCCCUCCACCGAGAACAACAAGAAGCUCUUCAACGACCUGUUCAAGAACAACGCAAACCUGUCGGAGAGUUCGGAGUGGAGACACAACCACAACUGCUUCUUGGACAUGGUCACUGUCGACGGCAUGUAUGACUACAUGAUGUACGUCGGUCGGGUGGUGUUCCACGUGCCCAACUGGCUGCACCACGUCCUGGCCGCAGGGAGGAUCCUGUUCAAGAACACCUUCGAAGCCUACAUGGACCAGUACAUGCUGUCCAAACUGGAGCAGGUCCUCCAGGAGCACCACACGGUCUCCCUCAUCACGCAGCUCAGAGACGCCGUCUUCUGUGAGAACAGCGAGGAGCGAACCGCAGAGGACAAACAAGUCAGAGCCAAGCAGACGUUUGAGGAGAUGAUGAAGUAUUUACCAGACUUUGUGGGAAAGUGCAUCGGCGAGGAGGCGAAAUACGAAGGCAUCAGACUCCUCUUCGACGGGUUCCAGCAGCCUCUCCUCAACAAGCAGAUGACGUACGUCCUGCUGGACAUCGCCGUGCAGGAGCUUUUCCCUGAACUCAGCGUGGUAAGCGAGUGACGGCGGAGAAUGUAAAGAAAUAAUACAGGAAGAGAUUCAGCUCGCUGUGUUGUUUGGGAACGUUUACCAUGAGCUCUUAAAAAGGGCAGGAGAGUACGACAAUAUCUGACACGGGAGAUUAAUCAUGUUGUGAGUACAAACUCAUCCCAGCAAGGAAAGGCUUUUAAUGUGAAACAGAGGAAUAAAUUCAGUAACAUGGCUGAAUGUAGUAUAAAUCAGGCCUGUCGCUCUCUGCAGUCGAGGUAAUUAAAGGCCCUGCCCGUUGUUUGAGACUGUACGGUACGUUCAGUCUGUUUUUGUGCUUUUAUUUCUGGAGUUCAUAGCACAAGAAUAAGCUGAAUCCCUAAAUCCACCUGCUGCUAUCGAAGUGUAACUAACUUGGUAACUGAGGUCUGUGGAUUUCAGGUAAAAAACAGCUGAAAUCCGCUCAUUCGCUUUCUUUCUUUAGACUCAGGCUGUGGUUAGCCUAGCUUAGCAUAAAGACUGGAAGCGGGUGGAAACAGCUAGCCUGCCUUUCCCCAUAAUUCGAAAAAUACACCUACCAGCUCCUCUAAAACUCACUGAUUAAUAUCUCACUUGUUUCGUCGGAGCACAAACAGAAAUGUAAGAGAGUUACGUGCUUGAACAACAUUGUAUCGAUCUGUAUUAACAUGCUGCGUUGCCAGAUAUGGUGAAUGAGUUCAGGUUUUGGCAACCUCACACAAAUUGUUGUUUUUAGCAAUCCUAGUGGCUCGGACAUUCAUAACUUCGGUGAUCCUCUGACUUUUCAUCUAGCGCCAUCAUCAGGACAAUGUUUUAAUUUGUCCAAGUACCAGCAGAACUAAUGACAUUCCCAUCAGCCUCAGCUGUACUUUGUGCUUACUGCUAAUUAGCAAAUAUGUGCAUGCUAACACACUAAAAUACGAUGGUAAGCAUUAUUCCUGUUAGCAUUUAGCUCAAAGCACCGCUGUAGACUCUUGUUACAUUUCUGUUUGUGGACGGUGUUGGUACGUGUAUUUAUGAAGUUUGGACAGAGCCAGGUUAACCACAACCCGACUUCAGCUAAAUACAGACGUGAUCAUCUAACUCUGAGAAAGACAAAACGUUGAUCAGGACAGAAGAAAUGUUUCGUGUGCUGUCUCAACUGUGAUAAUGAAACACUUCUGCGGUUGAAGCUCAACUUAAGAUUCCUAUUUCAGUUCAGUCGACUAAAACCUUCACAGCAACGAGCGAACCGCCCAGCUCUGGUUUCACUUUGUGUUCAAGACGAGGCUUUUCACAGUUUCUAUUUUUAGUUUUGCGUUCACACAACAUUCAAGCGUCCGCAGCGUGUGUGAAAGGCCACAAUGAAAAUAAACCAAGCCAGCUGUCCUCGUCUUCAGCCGAUUCGAGCAAACGCUCACUUUUUGAAAAGCUGGAACCAGUGAAUUACUUGCAUUUUUGCUCUGAUUAAGACUAGAGACAGUUUAACUACUCUCUGAAAUGCUGCUGUGCACAUCGUCAGAUUAACUCACCAAAGUGAAGCCGGUGUUUGAUGUUGACGUUUCCUCCUCGGCAGGGAGCGACGGAAGCGACCGUCGUGUGAAGCAGACGAUGUACGUCUCUGACAUCCUGGGUUAUGGAAGUGCAAUACUCCACUAUUUCCAGAUCUGCUGGGAACAUUUUUACAUUCCAAUGUAUAUAAAUGCACUAAUAAAAAGAUAUAUAUUUAUUGAUGUCACUACAGAUAAUGUUGUUUAUCAUCAUCAUCUUUCCACCACUGACAAUAUUUGCACAUUUCUUUGGAAAAUCCAAAAGUGUUAUUAAACAUGUUUGAAAUCUA